rnacentral:rRNA from 1 species
GGAUUAGAUACCCUGGUAGUCCACGCCCUAAACGAUGUACACUAGUUGUUGCGAUACUAGAUAUUGCAGUAAUGCAGUUAACACAGUAAGUGUACCGCCUGGGGAGUACGGUCGCAAGAUUAAAACUCAAAGGAAUAGACGGGGACCCGCACAAGCGGUGGAGCAUGUGGUUUAAUUCGACGAUACGCGAAGAACCUUACCUGGACUUGACAUAUUAAGAACUAUUUAGAGAUAGAUAGGUGUCUGCUUGCAGAAGCUUGAAUACAGGUGCUGCACGGCUGUCGUCAGCUCGUGCCG